CACAGAGAUUCACCUGCCUCUGCCUCCCGAGUGCUGGGAUUAAAGGCGUGUGCCACCAACGCCCGGCUGCACUGUAGAUUUCUGACACUGUGUGGGUUUCUCUUAGAGUGUCGCCCGUGGAUGCUAUCUGAAGGCCGAGCUAAAGGAAUGACCUGCCCCAGAGAAGGUGGAUAAUUUUUCCAAGCACACACAGGCAUGGCUGUUUGAGGAUUCUUUAAAUUGGGUUAUGAAACUGAGGUCUUAGCCGGGUGGUGGUGGCGCACGCCUUUAAUCCCAGCACUUGGGAGGCAGAGGCAGGUGGAUAUCUGUGAGUUCCAGGCCAGCCUGAUCUACAGAGCUACACAGAGAAACCCUGACUUGGGAAAAAAAAUGACUGAGGUCUUUUCAAGUGCAUGACUCCAGCUGGAAGUCACCUUAAAUACUGUUGAGCUUACUGUUGGCUUCUCAAGGUAUGUAUGUGUUUCUUACCCUUCCCUGUACCAUGCCUAGAGGCAGGUGAUUUUACUUGCAUUUCCUUCUAGGAAGGAUGAGUGUCAUUUUAGUUUGUGUUCUCAGGAAGGGUUCCUGAUUUAAAUGAGGGACUACCGGACAGGCCACCUGGACUGGUCCCAUCAGGGCAGAAAUACCUUGGGCUCAAAUUCCAUGGCUGCUUCUUACUUCCUGGAUCUUCAGUUUCCUACGUCAACUGAGCACUGUUCACUCUCCUGUCAACUCAACAACUCCCUGAAGAAGAUUUGCUGGCCCAUCUCUUCUCCUUCUGGUCACAGGAACCCUAAGUGAGACACUGGUCCUCCUGAUGCAUGGAUGAGGAGGUCAACGCUGCCGCCACAUAGACAAUGCUCAGGCGAGAGGCAUUUGGAGCUGCUGAGAUCGCGCAGGAGACCCUGCUUGACACAGGCUUCACCAGAGAGUUACGUCUGGGUCCCUCUGGCCCCCCAGACGUCCAGCAGAGGGCGCACCGCCCCGUCGAUACCAGGUUAAAGGAUGGAAUAAAUUGGAAAGGAGCCCCAAAGCGCACCGAGAUUACCUGCUAUAAGGCUGGAAAGUCAGAGCACGGUGGGAGAGUGAGGACAGGGGGCGCGCUGGGGGAGAAGACGCUGAUUCUGCAAGAGGAAAUCGGCGCCGACUUUUGGUGAAAGAUGCGGGAAUAAUUGCGGACCCUCAAACAGAAAACCCGCCGCAGACAUCCAGGACAACCAAGGGAGUCACAACGAGGCGGGGAAGAACCACGGAGAAGGAGGAGUUGUUUUGUGAUCUUUGCAGGGUUGGGUGUGUGCGGGGGGG